rnacentral:rRNA from 1 species
UACGUAGGGUGCGAGCGUUAAUCGGAAUUACUGGGCGUAAAGCGUGCGCAGGCGGUUUUGUAAGCCAGAUGUGAAAUCCCCGGGCUUAACCUGGGAAUGGCAUUUGGGACUGCAAGGCUCGAGUGCGGCAGAGGAGACUGGAAUUCCUGGUGUAGCAGUGAAAUGCGUAGAUAUCAGGAGGAACACCGGUGGCGAAGGCGGGUCUCUGGGCCGAUACUGACGCUGAGGAGCGAAAGCAUGGGGAGCGAACAGG